rnacentral:sRNA from 1 species
AAUUGUUCUCGAAUAAUACUUCUUUUUUCACAAUAAAAAAACCUGCCCGAAAGGCAGGUUUUUUUUGUU